CCCAUCACAACAAUAAUAAUAUAUUUCUGUGGCGGAAAGGCCCGACAAAGUUUUAUUUCCAAGAUUGCCUUUAAAUACCUAGUCUUAGACGCUGCGAAAUGCAAUAGAAGUUUAUGCAAGGAGUUAGAGCGUCGAAUUAUCAAUCGAAAUAAGGGGUUGAAUCAUCAGGCUGCAUAAUGACAGCACAAGGAAGCAGUCUCUUUGCACCAAAUUAUGGACAGCAGCCGGAAUGGGGACAAGAGAGACCUAUAACUUUCGAAGACCUUGGAAUACCGCGGUCCCAGGCCAUGCGGACUACAGUAUUUGGAAAUAUAAGAACAUGCCAAAGCCUCCGAAUUUUAGAAUGGAUUCUCCUUGUGGGGGGCCUCCUCUCGACGUUAGGAACAAUUGGGAUGGCGAUAUACAGACUCUUCUAUCUGCGUCCAGGAUCUCAGGACUAUGUGUUUGCCAUGCUGAUCAUUUUCCAUUCAGGUAAGUUCUGUCUUGAGAAUUGUAUGUUCAAUUUAUUGUAUAUAUUUUGUAGCAUGGUUUAUCCUCUCCUUUUUCUCAAUUUUCUCAAUCUUAUCGCUUAUUUUGAGGAGAAUGUUAGUUUGCUGAUAUACACCCAUUUAGAAGACUGUUUUUAGAUAUGACAUUUCAAACUAGAAGAUAUCAAGAGAAUAUACAUGUAUACAACGUGAAACCUCAGUUUUAUGGAAUAGUGGGGGAAGGUCCUUCUGUAGUGUUGUAUGUUGAAGCACUUGUGUUUAUGAUAUUACCAUAUAUGUGGAUUAAUAAAUAUAUCUUGAAAGAGCCUGCUUAACCCUAUGACUACGGUGCGUCACACUCGUGUGACACAGCUAAACUCCCGAUGCCGAGGCGUCAUGCCAGUGUGACGAUUUCAAUGCAAUAUUGCAAUCGCCCGGCUUUGGGGUUUUUGCGUAGCGUGUGCCCCGUCGGGAAAGGGUUAAUUUGAACACUACUAUUUAAAACAAAACAUAGCUCCAUGAAGACUUUGAAAUAAAAAACAGUUAUGACUAACAUCUUAGAUUGAUUCUAUAUUCAAUUAAAAUUUGCACACUAAUGAUAAUUACGAAUUAUCAAGGAAUGCAACCAAUGUCUAGAGUGCUGACUGCUUGCCUCAAAGAAGUCAAAUAGUAUGGAUUGCUUCUAUAACUCCUAGAUUGAGGUCUUACUUCACAGUAUUUUUGCUUUGUGAAUAUUUAUCAAAAUGGUUCCUACUAGACCCUUAGCAUACAAGUGUUGAUAUAUCUUUUUUAAUCUUGGGGAUACUACGAGGUAUUCUCCUUUUUAUUUUUAGGCCUUGGGUUUUGUGUGUCUCUAAUUAUGCUAACCAGUUUGUUGUGCAAUACAGGCAACUCCAGGUAUGCUAAUUAAGGCUCAUUGCUUCCACAGCAGUCAGAAUGAUUGAUGCUUAGAUUAUAUUGCAAUGUCUUCUUUGUUGUUUUUGUCAAUGGGUGUUUUGUAAAUUUCUAGGAAUUGAAUAUUUAGGUUAAUCAGUUUUGUUGUAUAUUGGUCUUGAAAGAGGAAAGGUUAAUGGUAUAAAUGACAGACAUAGGGGAAAAGGUGAUAAUUGUCAAGAGGAGUAUGAUCUAAAAAAUUUCCAGUUAACAGAAAUUAGAAGGCUACUUAAUGAUUAUCAAUGA
rnacentral:lncRNA from 1 species